AUUGAACGCUGGCGGCAGGCCUAACACAUGCAAGUCGAGCGGAUGAAAGGGGCUUGCUCCUGGAUUCAGCGGCGGACGGGUGAGUAAUACGCAGGAAUCUACCUAGUAGUGGGGGAUAACGUUUCGAAAGGGGCGCUAAUACCGCAUACGUUCUGAGGAAGAAAGCAGGGGAUCGCAAGACCUUGCGCUAUUAGAUGAGCUUGCGUCCGAUUAGCUAGUUGGUGGGGUAAAGGCCUACCAAGGCGACGAUCGGUAACUGGUCUGAGAGGAUGAUCAGUCACACUGGGACUGAGACACGGCCCAGACUCCUACGGGAGGCAGCAGUGGGGAAUUUUGGACAAUGGGGGCAACCCUGAUCCAGCCAUGCCGCGUGCGGGAAGAAGGCCU
rnacentral:rRNA from 1 species